GGUGUUUGUGUAGCUCAGUUAUAGAGCAUCUGCUUGGCAUACGGAAGGUCCCAGGUUCAAUUCCUGGCACCUCCA
rnacentral:tRNA from 1 species